GUACUUGAUUCAGUGGCACAGAUACUAAAAUUAGCGUGAUACAGAGAUUAGCAUGGUCCCUGUGCAGGGAUGACGUGCAAAUUCAUAAAAUAGUCUGUAUUUUA